GACCCAGUGGUGAAACGAAAUCACGCCCCCACGUUGUGUUGUCGGUAUGUAAUGUGUUUAAUUUAACCGUGGGACUCCCCUGUUCGAACCAGGGCUGGGUCA